UGGGGAAUUUUGGACAAUGGGCGAAAGCCUGAUCCAGCCAUGCCGCGUGAGUGAAGAAGGCCUUCGGGUUGUAAAGCUCUUUUAGUCGGAAAGAAAGAGUUGCAAUGAAUAAUUGUGAUUUAUGACGGUACCGACAGAAAAAGCACCGGCUAACUACGUGCCAGCAGCCGCGGUAAUACAUAGGGUGCGAGCGUUAAUCGGAAUUACUGGGCGUAAAGGGUGCGCAGGCGGUCUUGCAAGUCAGAUGUGAAAGCCCCGGGCUUAACCUGGGAAUUGCGUUUGAAACUACAAGGCUAGAGUGCAGCAGAGGGGAGUGGAAUUCCAUGUGUAGCAGUGAAAUGCGUAGAGAUGUGGAAGAACACCGAUGGCGAAGGCAGCUCCCUGGGUUGACACUGACGCUCAUGCACGAAAGCGUGGGGAGCAAACA
rnacentral:rRNA from 1 species